GCUCCGGGGGUCCCCAUGGCCGCUCACCCCUCAGGAGCCGCCGACCCCCCCCCCCUCUAGCGCGGGGUCUCCCAUAGGGAUACGCGGGGUGCGCAGUUCGGGUCUCGGAGGUUUCGCCGUGGCACGCUUCGCCUUUUCCACGCUGCUUGAGGCACAGCUCCGUGCCAGGGGGGCAGCGAGCGGGGCCGAUGCAGCAGAAAAAGGGGGGAAAUUUCUAGAACUGCCUUUUUUUUUUUUUUUUUUUUUUAAACCUCGCCAAGAGAUCGCACCAAAGGAUUCAGCAAGAAAAAAAAAAAAUGGAAGAUUUCUCUUUGUUAUCCCUUCCUUCGAGCGGAAUUUCCAGUGUUCAAAUGGCACCGUAAAGUGGCACCUUUUACUAAUGGGCUUGCCGUAAUUAGCAGACGCAGCCUGCGCUGCAAAUCGCUCUUAUGGAUGUGGGAGCGCAGCUCCUUGACGUGGCAUCAUCCUCUUCUUUUUUUUCCCUGGGACCUGCUGCAGGAUGCCCCGCUCGCCUCCAUGGGGCCAUCCGUGGCUGUGGGUGACGAAAAGGGAAGGAGGGGAGGAAGGCGGAAAGCUGCCAUUCCCGAACCAGAAGCUCUCUUCGCUUCCCCGGCCGCAUCCCGGGCGCGCAUUUGGCGAGCAAGUUACGCGGAGCCUCCGCUGGAGGAAUCCGCGUUGUGCAGCGCACUCUGGACUUGAACAAGGAGGAAAUCCGGGUAAAAAUAUACACAGACAAAACAGCCUUGCAACGUGGAUAGAACCACCGAGGUUACAGGGAGAAGGCGUAAUAAUAAUUCAUAUUAUGUACAGGACUCCAUAUACGCUAAGUAUAAUUUGCAUUCAGAUUUGCAGGUCACAUCUUCUAAAUUAAAGGUGCUAAACACGA